rnacentral:rRNA from 1 species
GACGAACGCUGGCGGCGUGCCUAAUACAUGCAAGUCGAACGCUUUUUCUUUGUACUUUUCCUGCUACACCGAACGAAAAUGGGUGGUGUAACGGUGGGUAACACGUCGUUUACCCGCCCAUCAGCGGUGGGAAACACUUGCAAAUAGGUCCUAAUACCGCUUAACUCCAUUUACCGGUUGGUAGAUAGCUAUAAGCCGCCUUUGCGUUACUCACGGAUGGUCUGGCCUUGCAUUUGCUAGAUGGUGGGGUAACGGCCUACCCAGGUCGCGAUGCAUAGCCGACCUGAGAGGGUGAUCGGCCACACUGGGACUGAGACACGGCCCAGACUCCUACGGGAGGCAGCAGUAGGGAAUCUUCGGCAAUGGACGCAAGUCUGACCGAGCAACGCCGCGUGAGUGAAGAAGGUUUUCGGAUCGUAAAACUCUGUUGGUAGAGAAGAACGAGGAUGAGAGUGGAAAGUUCAUCCCUUGACGGUAACUAAACAGAAAGCCACGGCUAACUACGUG